rnacentral:ncRNA from 1 species
CGGCCUGAGGUCGGACGAGGCUACCCGCUGAAUUUAAGCAUAUUACUAAGCGGAGGAAAAGAAACUAACGAGGAUUCCCUCAGUAACGGCGAGUGAAGCGGGACGAGCCCAGCGCCGAAUCCGGCCGCUUAUGGAGCGGACG